CACUAUCGUUAACUGAAUACAUAGGUUAACGAGGCGAACCGGGGGAACUGAAACAUCUAAGUACCCCGAGGAAAAGAAAUCAACCGAGAUUCCCCCAGUAGCGGCGAGCGAACGGGGAGCAGCCCAGAGUCUGAAUCAGCUUGUGUGUUAGUGGAACGGUCUGGAAAGUCCGACGGUACAGGGUGAUAGUCCCGUACACCAAAAUGCACAGGCUGUGAACUCGAAGAGUAGGGCGGGACACGUGGUAUCCUGUCUGAAUAUGGGGGGACCAUCCUCCAAGGCUAAAUACUCCUGACUGACCGAUAGUGAACCAGUACCGUGAGGGAAAGGCGAAAAGAACCCCGGCGAGGGGAGUGAAAAAGAACCUGAAACCGUGUACGUACAAGCAGUGGGAGCACCUUCGGGUGUGACUGCGUACCUUUUGUAUAAUGGGUCAGCGACUUAUAUUCUGUAGCAAGGUUAACCGUAUAGGGGAGCCGCAGGGAAACCGAGUCUUAACUGGGCGUUAAGUUGCAGGGUAUAGACCCGAAACCCGGUGAUCUAGCCAUGGGCAGGUUGAAGGUUGGGUAACACUAACUGGAGGACCGAACCGACUAAUGUUGAAAAAUUAGCGGAUGACUUGUGGCUGGGGGUGAAAGGCCAAUCAAACCGGGAGAUAGCUGGUUCUCCCCGAAAGCUAUUUAGGUAGCGCCUCGUGAAUUCAUCUUCGGGGGUAGAGCACUGUUUCGGCUAGGGGGUCAUCCCGACUUACCAACCCGAUGCAAACUACGAAUACCGAAGAAUGUUAUCACGGGAGACACACGGCGGGUGCUAACGUCCGUCGUGAAGAGGGAAACAACCCAGACCGCCAGCUAAGGUCCCAAAGUCAUGGUUAAGUGGGAAACGAUGUGGGAAGGCACAGACAGCCAGGAUGUUGGCUUAGAAGCAGCCAUCAUUUAAAGAAAGCGUAAUAGCUCACUGGUCGAGUCGGCCUGCGCGGAAGAUGUAACGGGGCUAAACCAUGCACCGAAGCUGCGGCAGCGACACUAUGUGUUGUUGGGUAGGGGAGCGUUCUGUAAGCCUGCGAAGGUGNNNNNNNNNNNNNNNNNNNNNNNNNNNNNNNNNNNNNNNNNNNNNNNNNNNNNNNNNNNNNNNNNNNNNNNNNNNNNNNNNNNNNNNNNNNNNNNNUGCUGGAGGUAUCAGAAGUGCGAAUGCUGACAUAAGUAACGAUAAAGCGGGUGAAAAGCCCGCUCGCCGGAAGACCAAGGGUUCCUGUCCAACGUUAAUCGGGGCAGGGUGAGUCGACCCCUAAGGCGAGGCCGAAAGGCGUAGUCGAUGGGAAACAGGUUAAUAUUCCUGUACUUGGUGUUACUGCGAAGGGGGGACGGAGAAGGCUAUGUUAGCCGGGCGACGGUUGUCCCGGUUUAAGCAUGUAGGCUGGUUGUCCAGGCAAAUCCGGAUAAUCAAGGCUGAGGUGUGAUGACGAGGCACUACGGUGCUGAAGUAACAAAUGCCCUGCUUCCAGGAAAAGCCUCUAAGCAUCAGGUAACAUCAAAUCGUACCCCAAACCGACACAGGUGGUCAGGUAGAGAAUACCAAGGCGCUUGAGAGAACUCGGGUGAAGGAACUAGGCAAAAUGGUGCCGUAACUUCGGGAGAAGGCACGCUGGUGUGUAGGUGAAGUCCCUGCGGAUGGAGCUGAGACCAGUCGAAGAUACCAGCUGGCUGCAACUGUUUAUUAAAAACACAGCACUGUGCAAACACGAAAGUGGACGUAUACGGUGUGACGCCUGCCCGGUGCCGGAAGGUUAAUUGAUGGGGUUAUCCGUAAGGAGAAGCUCUUGAUCGAAGCCCCGGUAAACGGCGGCCGUAACUAUAACGGUCCUAAGGUAGCGAAAUUCCUUGUCGGGUAAGUUCCGACCUGCACGAAUGGCGUAAUGAUGGCCAGGCUGUCUCCACCCGAGACUCAGUGAAAUUGAACUCGCUGUGAAGAUGCAGUGUACCCGCGGCAAGACGGAAAGACCCCGUGAACCUUUACUAUAGCUUGACACUGAACAUUGAGCCUUGAUGUGUAGGAUAGGUGGGAGGCUUUGAAGCGUGGACGCCAGUCUGCGUGGAGCCAACCUUGAAAUACCACCCUUUAAUGUUUGAUGUUCUAACGUUGGCCCCUUACCGGGGUUGCGGACAGUGUCUGGUGGGUAGUUUGACUGGGGCGGUCUCCUCCCAAAGCGUAACGGAGGAGCACGAAGGUUAGCUAAUCCUGGUCGGACAUCAGGAGGUUAGUGCAAUGGCAUAAGCUAGCUUGACUGCGAGCGUGACGGCGCGAGCAGGUGCGAAAGCAGGUCAUAGUGAUCCGGUGGUUCUGAAUGGAAGGGCCAUCGCUCAACGGAUAAAAGGUACUCCGGGGAUAACAGGCUGAUACCGCCCAAGAGUUCAUAUCGACGGCGGUGUUUGGCACCUCGAUGUCGGCUCAUCACAUCCUGGGGCUGAAGUAGGUCCCAAGGGUAUGGCUGUUCGCCAUUUAAAGUGGUACGCGAGCUGGGUUUAGAACGUCGUGAGACAGUUCGGUCCCUAUCUGCCGUGGGCGCUGGAGAAUUGAGGGGGGCUGCUCCUAGUACGAGAGGACCGGAGUGGACGCAUCACUGGUGUUCGGGUUGUCAUGCCAAUGGCACUGCCCGGUAGCUAAAUGCGGAAGAGAUAAGUGCUGAAAGCAUCUAAGCACGAAACUUGCCCCGAGAUGAGUUCUCCCUGAGACUUUAAGUCUCCUGAAGGAACGUUAAAGACGAUGACGUUGAUAGGCCGGGUGUGUAAGCGCAGCGAUGCGUUGAGCUAACCGGUACUAAUGAACCGUGAGGCUUAACCUU
rnacentral:rRNA from 1 species